ensembl:snoRNA
CAACAGUGAUGAGCUCUUUAUCCCGAAACUGAUAAUUUCUGAUGAUAAAAACCUUACGGAUCUGACUACUGAGUU